GCUCCCGAACGCUCCAGGUCGGCGCUCCAGGCCGCCGCCCCCCGGAUGCCCCCCGGCUUGCUUGGUACACCCAGGAUGUCACUUACGCCCGGCCUGGCCUCGCCCCACCCAGCGCAGAUCCCAGGGGAACUCGCAGGCGCAUCCUCCCACCUCGAGUCCUGGGCCCCGGAAGUGACGUCUCUGCGUGCGUGACGCGCGCUCGCGGCGCCGGGGGCGGGGCCUGAGGGAGGGUGGGUCGGUGUGAGGGCGGGUUGUGGACUGGCGGGGCCGGGACCCACUCGAGCGACGCGGGGCGAGCGGCGGUCUCGACGCCGGCGGAUCCGCCAACGAGCUCCCGUUUUUCAGAGAAUAAACAUCUAUAUGCACACUGAGUGGCCAGAUUAUUAUGACCGGCCAGAUUAUUAUUUCCCUGUUCUGGACGUUCAUAUGAAUGGGAUCAUAUGAUACAUGGGCUUUUAUGACUGGCUUCUUUCACUUAGCAUCAUGUUUUCAAGGUUAAUUGUGGCAUGUAUCGGUACUUAAUUCCUCUUUAUGACUGAGUAAUAACUACAUUGUAUGAUAUAUUGCAUUUUGUUUUUCCAUUCAUCAGUUGAUGGACAUUUGGGUUGUUUCCACCUUUUGGCUAUUAUAGAUAAUGCUCCUGUAAACAUUCAUGUACAACUUUCUGUGUGGACAUAAGUUUUUGUUUCGCUUGGGUAAAUACAGUACCUUGAAGUGGAAUUGCUGGGUCAUAUGGUGACUCUGUUCAAUGGUUUGAGGAACUCUCAGAUGGUUUCCAAAAGUGGCUGCACCAUUUUACAUUCCGACCUGCAGUGAAUGGGGUUCUCAUUUUUUCACAUCCUUGUUAACACUUACUAUUAUCUGACUUUGUUAUCCACUGGGUGUGAAGUGGUAGCUCAUGGUUUUGACUUACAUUUCCCUGAUGAUCAAUGAAGUCAAACAUGUUUUCUUGUGUGCUUAUUGACCAUUUGU